rnacentral:rRNA from 1 species
GAUGAACGCUAGCUACAGGCUUAACACAUGCAAGUCGAGGGGCAGCAUAGGCGUAGCAAUACGUUUGAUGGCGACCGGCGGAUGGGUGAGUAACACGUAUCCAACCUGGCAUAUACACAGGGACAGCCUUCUGAAAGGAAGAUUAAUACCUGAUGCCGCGAGAUAGACUCCUGUUUUUUUCGUGAAAGAUUCAUCGGUAUAUGAUGGGGAUGCGUCUGAUUAGGCAGUUGGCGGGGUAACGGCCCACCAAACCGACGAUCAGUAGGGGUUCUGAGAGGAAGGUCCCCCACAUUGGAACUGAGACACGGUCCAAACUCCUACGGGAGGCAGCAGUGAGGAAUAUUGGUCAAUGGGCGAGAGCCUGAACCAGCCAAGUAGCGUGAAGGAAGACUGCCCUAUGGGUUGUAAACUUCUUUUAUACGGGAGUAAACUGAGAGUCGUGACUUUCAUUGCAAGUACCGUAAGAAAAAGCAUCGGCUAACUCCGUGCCAGCAGCCGCGGUAAUACGGAGGAUGCGAGCGUUAUCCGGAUUUAUUGGGUUUAAAGGGAGCGUAGGCGGUCUGUCAAGUCCGUUGUGAAAAUUCACGGCUCAACCGUGUCCUUGCAGUUGAAACUGACAGCCUUGAGUGUGGUACAGGAAGGCGGAAUUCGUGGUGUAGCGGUGAAAUGCAUAGAUAUCACGAAGAACUCCGAUUGCGCAUGCAGCUUUCCGGACCAUUACUGACGCUGAAGCUCGAAAGUGCGGGUAUCAAACAGGAUUAGAUACCCUGGUAGUCCGCACAGUAAACGAUGAAUACUCGCUGUUGCGAUAUACGGUCAGCGGCCGCGCGAAAGCAUUAAGUAUUCCACCUGGGGAGUACGCCGGCACCGGUGAAACUCAA